rnacentral:tRNA from 2 species
GCGCUCCUAGUGUAAUGGAUAGCACAUGAGAUUUCGGUCCUCAUAAUCCCGGUUCGAUUCCGGGGGAGCGCA